AACUGUGGUGAGAACUUAUUUCUGAAUUUUGUGUGAUAUCUAAAGCCUGUCAAAAUGGAAUUCCUCGUAGCUUCUCACAAAAGAGAAAUGCUGUGUAAGCUAUGCCACUCUUAUCCUACACUGCGUCUACUUAUUACACUUCCUGUCAUUACCUUCCACAUUUUUACAGACGCACCAAGGAAUCAAGAAAGAUGCAGAAACUUUUCUGAUAUUUUAGAUAGAUUAUCAGCAUUGCUGAGACAAGUUUAUUUAGUCCAACAGUAUUUGUUUGCAAACUUCUUGGAUAACUGAUAUGAAAGAUAUUAUUACAACCACAGGCAGAAAAUACAAUUCAAAGUAACACUCACACAAAACUUGACCAUACUCAUGGAAACUUAAAGAUGAAGUACAGUGGGACCUUGUUGCAUAAUAAAACAAUUUUUAUUUACUAACAGAAAUAAAACUUGAUCCUAGUAGGCCUAGGACUACAGAUGAUGGACACGCUUUAUGGUCGAUACCAAGGGGAGUUCUGUGCAUCAAUCAUAACCGUGGCAUCACUUAUCAGGAGAUUUGGCUGUAUUUAUCAACAGUAGAUAGACUGGUACUUACACUGAAGAGAUAUACAGCCCUUUCACAUUAUAGUAUCGUGUACUGAAAAACCCUCACGACCAUCAUCCCCAUCAUGUUCUGGGGCAUACAACCUACCACAAUCAAGGGCAGACAGCCAUGUCAUAUAAAGGGGCAGACAACUGUCUUAAUUUGGAGGGAUAAAACAUUAAGGAGCUGACAAUCCUGUCAAUCUCAAGGGCAUUCUUGCCACACUAAGGGGUAGACUCCCUUGUUGUACUCAGGGGCAGACAACUCAACAUACUAAGGACCAUAUGACCCAGUCACAUUCAGGAGAUAAAAGAAUAGUUAUGUAACCCUGUUUCUAACCUAUAAUUGAAUUCUGAGAGGAAAACAUUUCUAAAGGUGUCCCUCUCCAUUGAGCUCCCCUCCCGUGUACGAUGUAGUGUGUAUUGGCCACAUAAUGACCUCCCCAGGCUAGUUUCUCCCUCACAUGUUUCUGUUGUACUGACUCUUGUUUAUGUAUUAUGGUAUUGAUUAUUUUCAAAAACGUAAAUUGAUCCAAUUUAACUGAGUGGAAGCAAUUAUCACGCAACAGCAUUAGGAUUGCUGCGGCAACACUGGAGCUUCGACAUCUCUCGAAAUGGGGUAAGCACCCUUCUCGUUUAUGGUAGACCUGCUACACCCCAGGCUCAAGUAAAAAAAGUUAACUACAUGUGCCAUAGCCCUUUUAAACUGUUGCACCACAGCUACUGGGCCGAGUUCUAUAGAUGUGAAAUCCUGUACAAUGUAACUUUAUAAAAUUGUUAUGCCAGUAGCAUUGGGUUUUUAUCUCAUACACAUAAUCCAGUUUGAAAGAUAUUGUUUAAAAACAUUUCCCCCGACAGUCAUUCAAGCUGGAACUCCAAUGUGACUUGUGAGAGGAAAACCUCAUGUCUGGCAAUGCUAAGAGAAUCGUUCAUGUCAUGCUAAAAGUAUGUCAUUAGCUCGAAAAUGCAUUACCAAAGAGAAGUACAUGGUUAGAUCUAAACUUGACAAUAAGUGUUGUGUGGAGGAUUGCUAUAUCAGUGUGGAGAAAUCCUAUAGUACAACCCUGCUAAUGGCUCCACACUUUUAUCUUUGAGGGGUGCUGUUCAGCAUGCUAUCAGGUAAUGCAUUGGCAAAGUCACUUUUCAAUUAACCAUAGUUGAAUAAAUUUGUUAAGAUUUGUUACAUAUAUCCUACAAGUUGGGAUUCAAAAUGUUCCCAAACAAAUGAAAUUGAAUAUCCAUAUUUCUAAAUAAUGCUUAAAAUGUCAUUUUGAAACUUUUUAUUUCAAGAUAACAAGACUUGUAAUAGCAAUAGGUCUCUUUAAAAUACAAUUGUGGUAAAAUUCAUUUAUAGUUAAGCAUCAUAAACGUUCUGGUAAAUUAACUUUGCACACAAAUUGAACAUUCCUCCAUGCACAGCUGGUGAAUGAGGUAGGCGAAGACAAAAUUAAUUGUAGCCACUUCAAGCUGUCCUGUAGCCUUAGACCAGCCUUACCAGGUUAACACGUUUAGCCCUUUGGAAAUCACAGUGGUAGCGUGUUCUUAUAAAUCCUUGCUUGUUCCAGCCAUUGCCAUAUCAGCCAAGCCUAAUUAUAGGGGGACUGUUAAGUGGGGGUUACCGACAACCUUAUUAACCGUGGCCAAAUCAUCAUAUGUUUUUGAGCUGGUGUCAUUAGACGUCCGACAGAUUAAAACUUCAAAGACAUCUCCAAGUAUGAUUAGUAUUGUGCAGGCCCCAACAAUGUAGAGCCAUGCCUGAGAGGCCCUGAUAAUGUAUAAGUGUCAAGUGUCAUGAAAUAUAUAACUUGGGUCCUUCAGUCGGCUGGCAUUAUUAGCAAUGAAAAGGAGAAUCAUCACAGCGGUAUUGGUGAAUAUUGUUCAAACGUGUAAUGAAUGAGAUUUAGUGCUUGUGUUUUGCAUGCUGAAAAUAAUGUCCGACAGGAAUGUCAAGUCAACUAUACAUGAUGUGGAGGAACAGAUCAAACAGACCAAGCUAAGGAUGGGGAGGCAGAUCACAUAUCGCCUCACUGGAACAAGUCCAUUUAUCUAGGGCAUUAUUGAAUGGUUUGUAUUCUGUAGAUAAGACCACAGUAAUACUGAUUACCCUGGAAAGUGGCAGGCAGCACAAACCAGCAGCUUGUACACCUGAAGGACUCUAAUGCAUUAAACUGCCACGGGUUGAUAGAGUUGUUUUUAACCUACAGUGGAUAUGUGGCGUGUUGGACAGAAAUGGAGAAGCACUUACUGAGUCCAUCUUUGUGGCCCUGGAGGCAGUGAAGGGAUUUAGACCUGUACAAGCACCUGUUUUGUGGGAGGGUGGUGGUAAGUCUGGUGUGGCCAGUGAUUGGAUACAAGCCCCUUUCUCUCCUCAGCAGUCUCCAGUGACAAGCUGCCUGGGAACUUCCUCCAAUAUCCCAGUCUGCACUGGAUACAACAUGAUGUAUGACUUGUGAAACCUGCAGAUGGGGAGAUCCUCCAAAGCCAUACAGUGUGUGCUGGCUUCCUAAUGGACAAACUCACCACAGCAGUAGGAGGACUCCAGCUAGCUACACAGAGAAUGCCUACUCUACACCUCUGGUCACUGAUUAACACUGUUCAUAAUGCCUUGAUUACAUUGUGCCAGUAUUCCUGUUUUUCGCUGGUGAUUCUGACCAGGAAAACCUACAGAAAACUUGUCACAGGUUUACAAGCUUUGACAGCCACUGAAAGGAAUCCAAUGUCAACAUUGCUGCUGUUUUUAUUGCCCUCCUUUACUGAAGAGUUCUCAAGAGGGGGUAGGCUCGCCUCGCACUAUGAUAUGAUGCAGAGACAGAUAACUGUAGCUAUGUUAUUUGUUACACACAAAAAAACUCAGAUGGCGAUGGAUUUUUGGUGGAAAUUAUUCGUAACCAAGGUGUAGUGAACUUUAAUAUUCAUAGUCACUUGGGCUAAAGAUAUCCAAGUGGCAGGCCAUGGAUAGUGAUGGGCUACACAUCACAUCACAGGCCUCCCUGUACCAAAUGGGUCCAGGCCCGAUAGGCUUGUCUGUUCUGGACACUGGUCAAAUCUAUUAUUAGAGGAGAUGUCCUGUCCAGAGAGUGGGAAAGGUUCAAAACUGACCGAUAACAUACACAAUAGAUGGGGCUCAUCGUCAGCAAAGGAGAACUAGUUCUGGAUAACCUACCAAGGAAAUGGACACCACACCAGAAGACUGUAGUCCAGACAUACCAACAAAGCUACUGAUUGACAUCAUGGACCGUAACGUGACAGCACCAGACAUGGGGAUGCUAGGGUGUUAUCUCCCAUUUCGGUGGUACAGAGGAAGGAUAAGCCUGGCUAGGAGCCGAUACACCUGUCUACCUGUUAGUGUGUUCACCUAUGGAUGAACACCAUGAUAGGUGUAAUACCUGUGAUAGGUGCAGUACCUGUGUAGGGCCACACCUAUGGAUGGAAACCAUGAUAGUUGUAAUCCCUGUGAUAGGUGCAGUACCUGUGUAGGGACACUCUUAUGGAUGGACACCAUGAUAGUUGUAAUGCCUGUCAUAGGUGCAGUACCUGUGUAGGGACACACCUAUGAAUGGACACCAUGAUAGUUGUAAUACCUGUGAUAGGGGCAGUACCUGUGUAGGGACACACCUAUGGAUGGAAACCAUGAUACUUGUAAUACCUGUGAUAGGUGCAGUACCUGUGCAGGGACACACCUAUGGAUGGACCCCAUGAUAGGUGUAAUACCUGUGAUAGGUGCAGUACCUGUGUAGGGCCACACCUAUGGAUGGAAACCAUGAUAGUUGUAAUGCCUGUGAUAGGUGCAGUCCCUGUGUAGGGACACACCUAUGGAUGGAAACCAUGAUAGUUGUAAUACCUGUGAUAGGUGCAGUACCUGUGCAGGGACACACCUAUGGAUGGACCCCAUGAUAGGUGUAAUACCUGUGAUAGGUGCAGUCCCUGUGUAGGGACACACCUAUGGAUGGACACCAUGAUAGUUGUAAUACCUGUGAUAGGUGCAGUACCUGUGUAGGGACACACCUGUGAAUGGAGAUAGUAGGUGAAGCCUGUGGAUGAUACAUGGUGUACGGAUAACUUGUGACAGGUAUAAUACCUGGAGAUGGAUACACCUGGCCAGUAAUUAGAUACAAUUUGUGUGCUAGGAAUGUGUUGUUUAUUCCAAUGUUUAUCUGUGGUUCUAUACAGAUAUGUGGGGAAUGUACCUCGUGUGUUUUGAAUAUAGUUUUGCCUGUUAUUCCAACAUGAGAAAUUUCGGAUUUAUCUUCUGGGAUUAAACGGGAGGCUUAAACCAACAUCAUGUCUGCAAGCCUCCACACACACUUUGUCUAAUAAGGGGCACUGCUAAUGGGCUGUGAAAGUCUCAACCGUCACACCGCACUGCUACGCAACCCCGGACCAAGGUAGCCAGCUCUCAACUCAUGAAUAAAAUUCAUAACCAGUAUUUCAAGGAGAUGGUUUAAGAAGACAGGACUAAAUGGUCAAUUGCAUGUUUGUCGAUGACCAAUUACCCUACCCCUGUUCCCUGGGGAGGACACCACCGUUUGUGUCAGCCACAGACAAUUCAGUUUUUUGGCCAAUUCAAUAAUGAUUGAAUGGGAAUGUACCACUCUGAGAACAAGCUGUUCUGUAAGGAGUGAUCACUUAGGAUGGCACAUCAGAAGACCUUUCCUUGUCGAGGCUAUUAGUAUCAGCCUUCUGAUGUGUCAAAGGAACCAGGCCUUAACGAUGGCUCAAGAAAUUGCAUAUUGUUUUCAAAGGAGAUGAAAGAGCAGCCGUUCAAAUGACAUGGACUGUGAUAAUGAUGGUGAUGGGGUGUGCAGCUGCUGCAGUCUCAAGACCUCGAUAGCAACCAGCAAUGGAGGAGAGACCCGGGGGCAGUAAUGGACUAACAAGCUACCAGGGUUCAUUGACGUGAGGAAAGGAAGGAACUAUUGGACAGGGCAGGAGGCAGGACUGAUGAGGAAGAAAAAGAUGGUAGAGGAUGAUUGACAGCUGGGAGGCG